rfam:Ipomoea nil DNA, scaffold: scaffold1525, cultivar: Tokyo-kokei standard.
GUUGCUUUGGCCGAGUGGUUAAGGCGUGUGCCUGCUAAGUGCAUGGGGUUUCUCCACGAGAGUUCGAAUCUCUCAGGCAACG